AUUCAAGAUUGAUUUUAAAUUGCAAAUUUAAAGGUGAAAAAAUUCUAAGGCUU
rnacentral:tRNA from 1 species